rnacentral:rRNA from 1 species
GACGUAGGGUGCAAGCGUUGUCCGGAUUUAUUGGGCGUAAAGAGCUCGUAGGCGGCUUGUUGCGUCGACUGUGAAAACCCGCGGCUUAACCGCGGGCUUGCAGUUGAUACGGGCAGGCUAGAGUUCGGUAGGGGAGACUGGAAUUCCUGGUUUAGCGGUGAAAUGCGCAGAUAUCAGGAGGAACACCGGUGGCGAAGGCGGGUCUCUGGGCCGAUACUGACGCUGAGGAGCGAAAGCGUGGGGAGCAAACAGG